rnacentral:rRNA from 1 species
GAUGAACGCUGGCGGCGUGCCUAAUACAUGCAAGUCGAGCGAACAGAUGAGGAGCUUGCUCCUCUGACGUUAGCGGCGGACGGGUGAGUAACACGUGGAUAACCUACCUAUAAGACUGGGAUAACUUCGGGAAACCGGAGCUAAUACCGGAUAUAUAUUGAACCGCAUGGUUCAAUAGUGAAAGACGGUUUUGCUGUCACUUAUAGAUGGAUCCGCGCCGCAUUAGCUAGUUGGUAAGGUAACGGCUUACCAAGGCAACGAUGCGUAGCCGACCUGAGAGGGUGAUCGGCCACACUGGAACUGAGACACGGUCCAGACUCCUACGGGAGGCAGCAGUAGGGAAUCUUCCGCAAUGGGCGAAAGCCUGACGGAGCAACGCCGCGUGAGUGAUGAAGGUCUUCGGAUCGUAAAACUCUGUUAUUAGGGAAGAACAAAUGUGUAAGUAACUAUGCACGUCUUGACGGUACCUAAUCAGAAAGCCACGGCUAACUACGUG